GGGCUGCCAACAGACUGACCCUUGAUGUUUCUCCUCAGCUCCCCAUGGACCACUGUGCACCGCGUGGCACUGGGCACCGGCACAAGGUGAAGAGGUGGGAGGUGUCGGUGCUCACAGGGCGGCAGCACAAAUUGGUUCUUCCGUCGGAGUCCCACGGCAAAAAGGUGGUUUUUGCUAUUGGUGACUCCCAUCUUCGAAGCCUUGCAGAUGGCAUCGUGCGGUUGCCUGAGGGUCGUCUGGCGUGGGGGUUCAUGUCAACGCC